UGCGGACUUGAACUUGGGCCAAACUUGAAAUUUAAGUGCUUCUAAUUUUUCCUUCUAUUUUUUUCCCUGUUUCUGGGUCUGGUACAAAAGCCCAGCUUCUCCACCAAAUAUGUGACAAUUGCCGCAAUGUGGAAUUAGAGAGUGAAACCUGGCACAGUGGGAGCCUGGUGUCUUUGGGAUUAUUAAAUGGGUGCCGCUCUCUCAAAGCUCUGUCAUUAGGCUCCUUUUAUAUGCUGAAACAUCUCCGUAUAAACUUACUGCCAAAGAAUUGAGAUGCUCUCGAUUCCUCCGAGUGAGAUUGGGAAUCAAACUAUCAAAGUAGCAAUCUGACUUCACUAGUGUUGUUCCUCUGAGAUUUAGCCGUCCCUUUCUUCGUUUUUCUUCUCAAUUUCCCUUUCACCCUUUUCAAUUUCCUCUCAGAUUUAGCCGUCCCUUAGCUUGGUAAUUUCCCUUUCACAGCCAGAUUGAAGACCCCUUCGCCCAGUACAAAUGACGAAGAAAUUGAAGCUUCAGCUCUAGAUUAGCCAGCCAUCACCUUCAUUCUUUCUUUCGCUUUCCCUUUCCCUCUGUUGUCUCCUUCCCUCUGCCAUCAUCCUCUGUUUUUCUCCUCUCCUUCCUUCACAGCCGGACGAUGAAGAAAGAACUCGCUUCUCCAAAUAACCAACGGUGGCCAAAAGAACUCUCUUCUCCAAAUAAAUUGUGACCCUCGUUCUUUCUUUUCCCUUUUCCUUUCUCUCUGUUUUCUCCUUCCCUCUCUGCUAAUCUGAAGAUAUUCCCUCUCUGCAAAAGGCACCCAGAAAUUGACGGUAUGUUUCUCCCCUUAUCUUCCCUUUCCCCUAAAUCUUGUCUUUGUGGCUGAAAAAGAAAACAAGAAAGCAUGGGAAAUCGGACAAAAUCCGAGUCGAAUCCGAGAAUUUGGCUGAUAUCUUUCUACACGGUUCUAACUCGGAAAAUAUCGACUGAUUCAAAGCGAUUCAAAUCGAAUAUGGUAUAAUCGACAUUUCGGAUAUCGGUAUCGAAACGGUAGGGACUGUUCCGGUUAUGACUCGGCCGAGUCGUCGAACCCUAGUAAUGCACUGCCAAGAAAUCAGUUAAGACAUUGAAAGUUAGUCCUGUAGAAUCAACAAUCAAGGAUGACAUGCCGCAUGCGGGUAUUGUUGCUUUGCAAGUCUUGUCCAGCCUUGGGGAAGUUAUAAAGGGAUCAAGCAUUGUGCACCUAGCAGGCUUCAGAAUUCGAAAGACAGUAGUAAAAGAGGAAGGAUUUGAAGAUUACGGCUUGCUUUGUUGGAGCACCAUUUCUGCUUGCAAGUGAUGAUAUAAUCUGCUUGAAAUUGAUUGUUAAGGGAGUUGCUUGGAACUUCGAUUACAUGAUAAGAUCAUAGGAAGUAGUUUAUUUGCAUGUCGAAGUAUGUUCAUGUGUUUAAGCAUAUUGCAAUUGUGCUUUACUCGAUGCCAUUUAUCUUUAAAAUGCUUCAUCUUUACUUUCUUUCCCAUUAAAAGAUUUUUUGUUUAAAUUCCAGCCCAUCUUAUGGCUAGGAAAGCUCUUCAUUGAACGCUUGUACUUCGUAUAGGAUAGUUUUCCGGGUAACUUGCAUAUAAC
rnacentral:lncRNA from 1 species